rnacentral:rRNA from 1 species
UACGAAGGGGGCUAUCGUUGCUCGGAAUCACUGGGCGUAAAGGGUGCGUAGGCGGGGCUUUAAGUCAGGGGUGAAAUCCUGGAGCUCAACUCCAGAACUGCCUUUGAUACUGAGGAUCUUGAGUACGGGAGAGGUGAGUGGAACUGCGAGUGUAGAGGUGAAAUUCGUAGAUAUUCGCAAGAACACCAGUGGCGAAGGCGGCUCACUGGCCCGUUACUGACGCUGAGGCACGAAAGCGCGGGGAGCAAACAGG